UUAGAGUUUGAUCCUGGCUCAGGAUGAACGCUAGCGGCAGGCUUAACACAUGCAAGUCGAACGGUAAGGCCCUGCUUGCAGGGUACACGAGUGGCGCACGGGUGCGUAACGCGUAUGCAACCUACCUUUAACAUUGAGAUAGCCCCGAGAAAUUGGGAUUAAUAUCGAAUAAUAAUAUAAUACAUCAUUGUAUAAUAUUUAAAGCUCCGGCGGUUAAAGAUGGGCAUGCGUAACAUUAGCUAGAUGGUAAGGUAACGGCUUACCAUGGCAACGAUGUUUAGGGGUUCUGAGAGGAUUAUCCCCCACACUGGUACUGAGACACGGACCAGACUCCUACGGGAGGCAGCAGUGAGGAAUAUUGGGCAAUGGAGGCAACUCUGACCCAGCCAUGCCGCGUGCAGGAAGACGGCCCUAUGGGUUGUAAACUGCUUUUAUAUACCAAGAAACCUGCGAUCGUGAUCGUAGUUGACGGUAUUGUACGAAUAAGCAUCGGCUAACUCCGUGCCAGCAGCCGCGGUAAUACGGAGGAUGCAGGCGUUAUCCGGAUUUAUUGGGUUUAAAGGGUGCGUAGGCGGGUUAAUAAGUCAGUGGUGAAAUCCCUCAGCUCAACUGAGGAACUGCCAUUGAUACUGUUAGUCUUGAGUAUAGUUGAGGUGGGCGGAAUGUGUCAUGUAGCGGUGAAAUGCAUAGAUAUGACACAGAACACCGAUUGCGUAGGCAGCUCACUAAACUAUCACUGACGCUGAGGCACGAAAGCGUGGGGAGCGAACAGGAUUAGAUACCCUGGUAGUCCACGCCGUAAACGAUGAUUACUCGUUGUGUGCGAUAUAUUGUACGCGACUGAGCGAAAGCAUUAAGUAAUCCACCUGGGGAGUACGGUCGCAAGAUUGAAACUCAAAGGAAUUGACGGGGGCCCGCACAAGCGGAGGAACAUGUGGUUUAAUUCGAUGAUACGCGAGGAACCUUACCUGGGCUUAAAUGUAGAGUGCUUUUCACCGAAAGGUGAUUUUCCUUCGGGACGCUUUACAAGGUGCUGCAUGGUUGUCGUCAGCUCGUGCCGUGAGGUGUCGGGUUAAGUCCCAUAACGAGCGCAACCCCUAUCGUUAGUUGCCAUCGGGUCAUGCCGGGGACUCUAACGAGAAUGCCAGUGUAACCUGUGAGGAAGGUGGGGAUGACGUCAAAUCAGCACGGCCCUUACGUCCAGGGCUACACACGUGUUACAAUGGUCGGUACAGAGGGCAGCUACUUGGUGACAAGAUGCUAAUCUCGAAAGCCGGUCUCAGUUCGGAUCGAAGUCUGCAACUCGACUUCGUGAAGCUGGAUUCGCUAGUAAUCGCGCAUCAGCCACGGCGCGGUGAAUACGUUCCCGGGCCUUGUACACACCGCCCGUCAAGCCAUGGAAGCUGGGGGUACCUGAAGUCUGUAACCGUAAGGAGCGGCCUAGGGUAAAACUGGUAACUAGGGUUAAGUCGUAACAAGGUAGCC
rnacentral:rRNA from 1 species